rnacentral:snRNA from 1 species
AUUGCUUCUCGGCCUUUUGGCUAAGAUCAAGAGUUAGACACUAUCCUUUUUUCAGUCAAAUGAUUUUUUUUCUUGAGACAGGGUCUCUCUCUGUCACUCAGGCUGGAGUGCAAUGGCACAAUCACAGCUCACUGCAGCCUCAACCUC